UGCUUGCCCUCCUUAAAGCUUUCCCGAUCCAUAAAACGGGCACAACAAAAUCCACCUUGUGACAUUGAAGCUUAAAUGAGAUGAUCUACAUGGUGUCUUCCUUCCCUUCCUGACACAUCCUAGACUCACAGCUAUGGUAGCAGCGACAGACUGGAUGGAAUGCUGGAGCCGCUUUGCGCCUGGUGAAGCCACAUGGACUUGUGCAGUGCUGGCGACUGUCUCUGAAAACCUUUAAUCAUGGCAGUGGCAGCCUCGAGUGGCUCUUGGCAUACUUCAGUCUGUGGAGUGCAAGGUUGACUGGAUCUCCGUGGCCAUUGAUACUAUUCAGGGAACGAAAUGUGGAAGUUGCUCAUAAUUCUGAACCAGUGUUUUCUAACCAAUGUGUGAUUACAAAAUCGUGUGCUGGUAAAAGCCAUUCAAGUGCAGGACGGACCAGUUGACUCAGAAGGAAUUGGGGCAGAAAGGCCCGUCGACCAGAGCGCAGUCUCUGCGUUGCAGACAGCCUGUACGGAAGUGCCACUUGUUACAUUUGGCAACAGAGAAUACCUAAAAUGAUCUGAAAACACAAUGAAAAUACUGCUUCCUACUUGUAUAUCAGCGUGGGGUCGGACUUCUUUCAUAAACUUCAGCCACGGCUCUCUAGCCCACUGAACGCAGAUGCAGGCAUGAGAACCCUGCUGUCUGAGGUGCAGAGAUGUUAGGUGUUUUCACAGCAGUACAAACUGUUGCCACGCUGCUACUUAUUUUGGAAAAUGGUUUCUUCUUGAAGACUGUGUUAAGAUGUAAUGACUUUAUCGUUGUAAAAUAAACUAAAUUGUUAUCUUUUUUUUUUUUUUUUUU